rnacentral:lncRNA from 1 species
CUUGACAAUUUUGAUUGGCUUUGAGCCCAAAAAUACAGCAAAUGCACAUUUUAAAUUUUGAUUGGCUUUGAGCCCAAAAAUACAGCAAAUGCACAUUUUAAAUUUUGAUUGGUGGUAGCCGAAUAGUUCUGGUGGCAAAACCCUUCAUUCUUUUAUUCUUUCAAACAUAUCAUUCAGAAUUCACAACCCUUACUCGCAAGUAAAAACUGGCGUGAAAAACUCAACUCAAUUGCACUAUACGCUCUAAAAAUUCCAGCUUACAGUGUUCUAGAUUGAUUAGAUUGUUAAUCGCGGAUGAAUUGUGGGAAUAGAAAUAGAAUUUAUUGAGCGUAAACGAUCAAUGGCAGAAUAUAAGAGCUGAAAAUGUUAAUUGAUUGAGGAAAAAUGAUAGAAAGAAGAGAUGGGUAGAGAGACCUCGGUGUUGCUCCAACCGUGGUACAUCGCGAUAUUCGUGACGGCGUUAGUUUCUCUUCUUUCUUGCUUUUUCCUUCUCUCAACGGGUACUAUUUCUUCUCGUGCUGCUCCAUUUGUUUGUUGCAUUUAUUUCUCUACUUUUCUUACACUUCAAAUAACUUUUUGGGUUUUCUAUGAAUGUAUUCUUAAGUUGAAAUUUGAAUUGGCUUGGGUUUAUCUUCGAUCUGACUGUGCCCUUUUGGUGUAGACAACUUUAUUAUUGAUGAGUUCUAUAUUCCUGUUGAUUUGCAAUCUUUAAUGGGUUUGAGAUGUAAUCUGUGAAUGAAAGAAAGUUUUUUGUUUUUAGUUUUUCUUUAGUUGAAUGGGUAAAGCUGUAGUUUUCUUAGCUCAAUCAUGAGAUUAUGUGAACUCAAGAGAAAUACAAAAGAAAAUGGAGGGAAGAUCUUAGGAAUGGUUAUAGAAGCCAUUCAAUGUAAUGAACAGCUGAAGGGGUUCUACGCUUGUUCCAUUCUUAUGAAGGAAUGUUGCAGAAAUUUUUAGGGCUUUAGGUUGGCUUGUUUCUGGUAUUGAUCUUCUGAACUGGUUUAUCGUCUUGAACUGUGUCAUUGAGAUUACUGAUGCGGCACCAUCUCCAAUUUUAUCACACUUCUAGACGUUGCCAAGAUUAUAUAAUUGAUUAAUACGUGAUUCACUGAGCCCCUUUCACCUUGGUCCACAAAGACAAUUUAGGACUAGUGCCAAUAGUUCAUCAUAAACGAGUAAAGGGAUAUAGUGUUGUGAUUACUGAUCACUAGAAUAGUUUAUGUUUGAACAGGAUAAUUAACCCAAUCUGUACUUGGAGAUAUUCUACUUUUAUAUGCUUUUCAUUGACCAGUGAAGAGGUGCUAAACUGCUAAUAAAUAAAGGAAAUGACCUUCUGCGAGCAAAACAUACUAGGCUUCCAAAAUAGUAGAAGCACAAUAAAUUUGGCAAACGUGAAAAUAUUUCUUGAAAUGUUGACUAAAUAUAAGUUGGAAAGAGAAUACACCUUAACUGUCAAAUAUAUAUUAUCUCUCUUAGCACUCUACCAUAUGAAGCUAGAAGGAGCACAUCCCCCUUUAGCUAUGAUAUUCAGUACUACGUUAGAAGGCUCAAUAUGCUGUUCCUAGCAGGACUUGAGAAAAAACAAAAAAAGUCAUCGGUUUUAAUUAAUGAAACUAGACUACUGUCUUUUGGUAAUCUGCAGCACUUGAAACCACCACUUAAUUUAUGACUUCUAAGUACUAAGAUCCAUUAGGAAUUGGGGUAUUAUGGGUUUUGUGAAGACAUAGAUAAGUUAAUGUUAAUGUUAUCUAAAAUGGCUGUGAAAAGUCUUCAAGUGGUAGUAAAUUCUGCAUUAAAUCAUACCAUGGUGGAAACAAAAUGGCCUAUGAAGUCAUUUUUCCUGUGAUGUGCUACAGUCAUAAGAUCAUUCUCUUGUGACAUUACUUUCUGAUGUUUUUUUCCUCUUUCUGAAAUUCACUUAUUUCUUCUAAAUUUCUAUGAGGAAGAGAAAGUGGAAGAGGCUUAUGAAAUCACACACAGAGUAUUUUUGGAUGUUGAUAUGGAUAAACAACAUAUACAUAUGUGACCUUAGUAUUCUUUGACAGCCAGGUGGUACAACUUUAACCCCUAUUUGAUCCCCAUUUUGGGUAAAAUAAUACAUUUUGAAUAAUAGAUUGAUGAAGAAUGAGUGGUUAAAAAUUAAAGAAAAGUUUUGGAUUUACAUAUAAUAUUAUUUUAUUGCAUAAUGUGUUGUUGAAAAUGAGUUUUAAAAAAAUGAAUUUUUAGAAGAAUGGAAAUCAAACAAUGGCUUAUUAUCAACUGCUGAUUUGAUUUGCGCACAGGACAAAUCUUCUAAAUACCUUUUCUUUUUCUUGAUUCAUUUCGUUAUUGUAAAUGCAUUUAUCCAAAAAAAAAAAAAAAAAAAUCUAGGGUAAUUGUUGUAUGAUAUGCUAAAUGAGAACUCUAGAAAUGCUGUCUUGUUUCUUUGCUGUGUUGUAUCAUAUCUACAUGCCGGCACUUCUGUAGAUAAAUUUACAUCGAAGAGGCUUUCAACACUAAGUAUAAACUUUUCGAAGUCAUGAUUUUUCUCAAGUCUCCUAAAAUGUCAGCUAGAAUGCCCAAAAAGAACAUCAAAUUGUAAGUUUUUUCUUCUGUUUCUUUUAUUAUUUUCGUUAAAUGUUUGUAGUAUUUUAACGAUGGUCUUGUUAUAUCAUUUUUGUGUAAGAGAACAUCUGGCAGGAAUCUCCUUGUCUGGGACCAAAAUUACAGACUGGGGACAUAUGAUUUCAAAAUCUGUGUUUAUUUUGGUUUAAGAGAUGGCUAUUGUUCUUGUGGCAUAUCUGGAACAAUGUUAUCUGUGUGUAAACUUUCAUUGGACAUGAUCAUGAGUUGGCAAGCCAUAAAAAUUUAAAAACUAAUAUUUAAAAGGAAGAAAAAAAAUGACUGGCAAAAUUUUCUGGUUGCAUAUGGUUCAACCAUUUCCUCCGACCAUCCAUGUUAUACUUGAAGAAGUUGAAAUUUUAGGUGGCACAAGAUGCUGAAAGGACUCUAAUGAACAAGAAGAAAUCUGUACUAUAUAUAUUCGGCUUGUAGCCUUGUUGCUUACUACAUCUGUUCAUGUUUAAAUUGUUUCUCCUCGUUGUCUGCAAGCAUAAUCAUCAUUGGUUUAUAUGGUCUGGUUGUACCAAGGACGGCUGGUAUGUCUUCAGAUAUUGGAACUUUUGAUACAGAUUCUGCUAUUUUAUCAUCAGUCCUUCACAUAACCUGCAUUUUGUCGAAUCCGGGGAGAUGGGAAAGUCUGCUAAUGGAAAAGUACUCCACUACAAGGGAACACCAUUUCAUCAUAUUAUACCUUGAUUUAUGAUCCAAGGAGGGGAUAUUGUCUCUAGCAAUGGUAGAGGAAACCAGCCAACAUAUGGUGGCGCCUUUCGUGAUGAGAAUUUCAAGUUGAAGCAUUCACAUGCAGGUUUGCAAUGAUCUUUCGCGCACUCAUUUCUUCUUUCUGGGGCGACAGCAAAUUCCCUCUAUCCUCCAUGUACUUUUGGCUACUGAUGAGUGAAUUUCACUCAUUGAUUUAAUGUCUCUUAAGCUUGAAAUAUUUGGUUGUUUUCGAGAAAUUUAGAACGUUUUGAUGCGGGUAUUAGUGUUGUUUUAUAGGCGAACCAAUUUGGUGAAAUGGUGAGUUUGAAAGGUGGAAAAGAGUCAAAUUUACAUAGAGGUGAAUGGACAAAAAGAAGCAUCGAGAUGCAUGUGAAAGACGAUGGAAGAAAGAAGGAAGAAAACAAACUAAAAAAACUUGCCACAGUGCCUAGGCGCCACAAAGGGAGUAGAAACUCAACGCCUAGGCGCUGCACGCGCUGAAACAAGACAGAAACGCAACGCCUAGGCACCACUUUUGUAGCGCCCAGGCGCUGCAUGCCGAGAAAGGAAAAACGCUAUUUUUCCAAAUAUUUUCGACCUAGCCCAAUUCCAACUCGCAAUGCAAAUUAAGGGGAAUAUAAAUACAUAUUUACAGACCUAAGAAAGGGGGUUGGACGGCUGAAGAAGGGAGGCAAAGAGAUGCACUAAUUGAGAGAAGAAUCACCGGAUUUGGAGAAGGAAUCAAGCUGCAAACUGAGUUUUUCUUAUCUUUCUCUUCUUCAUGCGAUUUAAUUUGUAUUUUAUUGUGUUCUUCUUCUCAAUCAUGAACUAAGUUAUUAAAUUUAGGGUUUGAUGUAACCUAUUUGAGACAUGACUCAAUUUCUUUAUAAUAUUUCCAUUUAAUUUUCCAGAAUUGA